CUCUUGAAACUUGACAAGUGCUUAUGUAAUUAAAUUACACACAUAAAUAUCGUCAACAGAGAGUUUAGUUGCACUGUAAAAAUCUCAGUCCUUACACUCUAGUUCUUUUAUAUUUAAUCUAUAAAACUAUUUAAAAUUCUAGGGGUGUUACAUUCAGUCCUUCGUUAAUCUCUGCUGCUCUCAUCGAGCUCAAAUGCACUCAU
rnacentral:lncRNA from 1 species